UCAGGAUGAACGCUAGCGGCAGGCUAACACAUGCAAGUCGAGGGGCAACGCGAGUAGCAGUACUGGCGGCGACCGGCGCAAGGGUGCGUAACGCGUGAGCAACAUGCCCGUAUCAGGGGGAUAAUCCAGGGAAACUUGGUCUAAUACCCCAUAGUAAUUUUGUAAGGCAUCUUAUAAGAUUUAAAGCUUUGGUGGAUACGGAUUGGCUCGCGUGACAUUAGCUGGAUGGUAAGGUAACGGCUUACCAUGGCUAUGAUGUCUAGGGGUUCUGAGAGGAAGGUCCCCCACACUGGAACUGAGACACGGUCCAGACUCCUACGGGAGGCAGCAGUGAGGAAUAUUGGACAAUGGAUGGAAAUCUGAUCCAGCCAUGCCGCGUGAAGGAAAGAAGGUCCUAUGGAUUGUAAACUUCUUUUGUAUGGGAGCAAUAAGGCCUACGUGUAGGUUGAUGAGAGUACCAUACGAAUAAGCACCGGCUAACUCCGUGCCAGCAGCCGC
rnacentral:rRNA from 1 species